CAAAUCUGUUGUGUGCUGAAGAGACAAGCUCAUCUACAAUCUGGGCAGCUUGCAAGAGUGUGGAAGAAUAUGGCUUGAUGGAUCACCUCAGAUUUAAUAUGUCAUCGGCAUCUUCAUUUUUCAGAAGUGGGGACCAGCAUGGUGGAUUUGUGCCUUGGGGACGAGACAACGACAUCCCAGACCUUCGCCUUUGUUACGGGCCGUGACCGCUGC